rnacentral:rRNA from 1 species
UACGUAUGGUGCAAGCGUUAUCCGGAUUUACUGGGUGUAAAGGGAGCGUAGACGGAGUGGCAAGUCUGAUGUGAAAACCCGGGGCUCAACCCCGGGACUGCAUUGGAAACUGUCAAUCUAGAGUACUGGAGAGGUAAGCGGAAUUCCUAGUGUAGCGGUGAAAUGCGUAGAUAUUAGGAGGAACACCAGUGGCGAAGGCGGCUUACUGGACGGUAACUGACGUUGAGGCUCGAAAGCGUGGGGAGCAAACAGG